rnacentral:rRNA from 1 species
CUGCGGCGUGCUACCAUGCAAGUCGAACGUGAUCCGCCCUUCGGGGUGGUGAAAGUGGCGCACGGGUGAGUAACGCGUGGAUAAUCUGCCCGAGGAUUUGGGAUAACAUCUCGAAAGGGGUGCUAAUACCGAAUAAGCCCACGGGGUCUACGGAUCUUGCGGGAAAAGGGGGGGACCUUCGGGCCUCCUGUCCUUGGAUGAGUCUGCGUACCAUUAGCUAGUUGGUGGGGUAAUGGCCUACCAAGGCGACGAUGGUUAGCUGGUCUGAGAGGAUGAUCAGCCACACUGGAACUGAGACACGGUCCAGACUCCUACGGGAGGCAGCAGUGGGGAAUUUUGCGCAAUGGGGGAAACCCUGACGCAGCAACGCCGCGUGGGUGAUGAAGGCCUUCGGGUCGUAAAGCUCUGUCUGGAGGGAAGAAAUGAUUGGGAGCUAAUACCUCUUGAUCUUGACGGUACCUCUGAAGGAAGCACCGGCUAACUCCGUGCCAGCAGCCGCGGUAAUACGGAGGGUGCAAGCGUUGUUCGGAAUUAUUGGGCGUAAAGCGCGUGUAGGCGGUCUUUUAAGUCUGAUGUGAAAGCCCCGGGCUCAACCUGGGAAGUGCAUUGGAAACUGGGAGGCUUGAGUACGGGAGAGGAGAGUGGAAUUCCUAGUGUAGGAGUGAAAUCCGUAGAUAUUAGGAGGAACACCGGUGGCGAAGGCGGCUCUCUGGACCGAUACUGACGCUGAGACGCGAAAGCGUGGGUAGCAAACAGGAUUAGAUACCCUGGUAGUCCACGCCGUAACGAUGAGUACUAGUGUUGCGGGUAUUGACUCCUG